rnacentral:rRNA from 1 species
UACGAAGGGGGCUAGCGUUGCUCGGAAUCACUGGGCGUAAAGCGCACGUAGGCGGAUCUUUAAGUCAGGGGUGAAAUCCUGGAGCUCAACUCCAGAACUGCCUUUGAUACUGAGGAGCUUGAGUCCGGGAGAGGUGAGUGGAACUGCGAGUGUAGAGGUGAAAUUCGUAGAUAUUCGCAAGAACACCAGUGGCGAAGGCGGCUCACUGGCCCGGUACUGACGCUGAGGUGCGAAAGCGUGGG